GUGCCAGCCGCCGCGGUAAGACGAACCGUGCAAACGUUGUUCGGAAUCACUGGGCUUAAAGGGCGCGUAGGCUGUUCGCUAAGUCGUGGGUGAAAUCUUUCGGCUCAACCGGAAAAUUGCCUGCGAUACUGGCGAGCUCGAGGGUGGUAGGGGCGAUCGGAACUGCCAGUGGAGCGGUGAAAUGCGUUGAUAUUGGCAGGAACGCCGGUGGCGAAAGCGGAUCGCUGGAUCACUCCUGACGCUGAGGCGCGAAAGCUAGGGGAGCAAACGGGAUUAGAAACCCGCGUAGUCC
rnacentral:rRNA from 1 species